UACGGAGGGAGCUAGCGUUGUUCGGAAUUACUGGGCGUAAAGCGCGCGUAGGCGGUUUUUCAAGUCAGAGGUGAAAGCCCGGAGCUCAACUCCGGAACUGCCUUUGAAACUGGAUUACUUGAAUCUUGGAGAGGUCAGUGGAAUUCCGAGUGUAGAGGUGAAAUUCGUAGAUAUUCGGAAGAACACCAGUGGCGAAGGCGACUGACUGGACAAGUAUUGACGCUGAGGUGCGAAAGCGUGGGGAGCAAACAGG
rnacentral:rRNA from 1 species